rnacentral:rRNA from 1 species
UACGUAGGUGGCAAGCGUUGUCCGGAUUUACUGGGCGUAAAGCGCGCGCAGGCGGACUGAUCAGUCUGGGGUGAAAUCUCCCGGCUCAACUGGGAGCGGUCCCUGGAUACUGUCAGUCUUGAGAGACCUAGAGGAGAGCGGAAUUCCCGGUGUAGUGGUGGAAUGCGUAGAGAUCCGGAGGAACACCAAAGGCGAAGGCAGUGUCCUGGGGAGUACCUGACGCUCAGGUGCGAAAGCCAGGGGAGCGAACGGG